AAAGUAGUGAUGCAGAGUAAAACUCUAAAAGCGGUCUCAGUUCGGAUUGAAGGCUGAAAUUCGCCUUCAUGAAGCUGGAAUUGCUAGUAAUGGCAGGUCAGCAUACUGCCGUGAAUACGUUCCCGGGCCUUGUACACACCGCCCGUCACACCAUGAGAGUUGGAAAUACCCGAAGCCUGUGAGCUAACAAACGAGGCAGCAGUCGAAGGUAGAGCCAAUGAUUGGGGUGAAGUCGUAACAAGGUAUC
rnacentral:rRNA from 1 species